rnacentral:lncRNA from 1 species
CCUUGCUUGAGAUCCCGAUAUCAGGGUGAACUUGUUUAAGAACCUUGAAGAUGUAGAUCUUAUAAGUCUCCACACUCUUCUUGGCCCUCUUCUUCUUCUUAUCACCGGCGGCACCGCCUUCUUUUGGAAGCUUCUUGCCGGCCUUCGGUUUCUUCUCCGCCGGGGACUUCUCGGCAACGGUGGUCUUUUUCUCCUCCGCCGGUUUCUUUUCGGCUGGCUUUUUCUCGGCUUUGGGGGCCAUUUAGUAAAGGCAAAAUUUGUUUGCUUUAAAAGUUAGUUUGGGAAAUUUUGGUAGCUGUGGCUGGUGAGCGGUGAUGAAGGAGGGAAGGUGGUGCGUCUGGUAUAUAAAAAGCUAAAUGGAAGAUAUUGAUUGGAUAGUACUCGAAGACACGGAUCGAUGGUGUGGAGAAUUAUGACCAUAGAUUAGGAAAUGGGAUCGACGGCCACGAAUGAUAAUGAUAAAGAGGACAGUUUACGCGGGAAUUAAUUUUGGGACGUGGCGAGUUUUUGUUGGUGGAUAUUAUGGAGUUCGGAUUGAUGAGCUAGUAUUGUUUUUAAAAAAUGUUUUUAGAAAAUGCUUUCAAAAAGUGCUUUAAGAAUACUUUCAAAAAUUUUGAUUUAAAUUUUAAAUGUUUAGUAUUAUUGUUAAAAAGUAUUUUUGAUAAAUAAAAUAUUUUUUUAUAUAUGGUAUUAUAAAGUAAUAAAUAUGUAUUUAAAUAAUAUUCAAAUUAAUUAAUGUUAUGAUAUUUUAGCAGUUAUAUAAAAAAUAAUUUAUUGCAACUUGUUGUUAAUAUUUUAAUAUAUGAAAUAUAAAUUUUAAAAUAUGAUUAAAUAAUUAAUAUUAAUUAUUUCUAAAAUUUAAUUAGAAUAUAUAAACUAUACUUUAAAUAUUUAAAUAUAACCAUUAAAUAUUUGCAAUUAAAUAUUUUGAAUCCUUUUAAAAAAUAAUUUCUUUUUUUUCAAAAAAAAUACUUUUUUUAAUUAAUGAUUUUAUUUUAAAAUAUAAUUUGAAUAUAUAACUCAAUUUAAAUAUUAACAUAGCAUAGAAAACAUAAACCUAACAAACUAAAAUAUUACCUGUAUCUAGAUUAAAGUUUUGAAAAGAGGUAAUAUUUAUAUUUUAAAAUUUUUACAUCAGCAUUUGUAAUUUUAAAUGAAUGAAAAAAUAAUAAUGCUUCCAAAAGUGCUUUCGGCUCAAGAAAAGCUAAAAUUUUUAAGUUCUGAGUAAGAGUGUUUUUGAAAAGUUGCUUGUUUAGCACAAUUUUUCUUCUAAAUUUUUUUUUUAAGCAUUGCUAAACAUAGCCAGAGUAUUACUUUAUCGUCUCCAACCUAAUUUAUUUUAAAUUGGAAUAACUCUAAAUAAAAUUCACCUAUACGAUUUAAGCUAAUUGUAAAUUUAGAAGAAAAAAAUUAUAUAAGAUAAGACUCGGGUGAUGUUGAAUUGAUGUUUAGCCGUUUUAAUUUACAUAAUUUUAAGUUCAAAAAUCUUCUAACUUAUUAUAAAUUCGGAUUAUAUUACUGCUCUUUUUGACACAAUACCUAACCCAUAAAUAAGAGCAUAAUUCGCUUUAACACACUCGAAUCCACGUCCUCCUUCAUUAGGAGUAAUGCCCAUGUCAAUCGAACUAAAACUCAAUCGACAAGUCAUUCAAAUUUUAUGGUAAAGUUAUUUUAAAUCCUUUUCUGUUUAAGUCAUUUGCUCGAGCCAUUUAAAUUUGAAUAAUUUCAAUUUACGAGUCUUUUCUAAUGAUAAAAUCAUAUUGAUGUUUGGAUUCAAAUUAAACGGAUAGGUUUUUGGGGUUCGACAUAGUAAAACUCGUGAGAAAUGUAUGAAGCAAAUUGUAGAAAUAAGAAAUCUUAACAAGGAACAAAAGACCAGCUUCAUUAACAUUUCAUCUGCAUAUCAGAAUCAUUUGCAGAUCAAUCACAUACGGAAUCGAAUCAAACACCCACAGGCCACCAUUUUCAAUCCGUACGAGUAACCGAAAUAUCCAUUUUUAUACAUGCAGGAACAAACCUAAAAGAAAUAGUGUCAUAUUCAUACCAUUGAAGUAGAUAGACUUUUGGUUCUAAUGAAUCAAACUAUAAACACAUCCGGUCAUACAACCUCUGCGCAUAACAAACCCAUAUAAUUUGUUCGAGACCGAACACUUCUAUAUAAAAAAAACUUACCCAACAAACCAAUAUCAAAGUUCAGUCAGGUCGAUAUUACCGCCUCCCGCAACCGUAUUAACAUUUCACUAAAAGCAAAAGCAGAAAAGAAUUCAAAUACCCAUGCCUCUCGGAGACUCCGAUUUAGUUGGCACGGCUUCUUAUGACAUCGAGUCCCAUCUCGGUGGGAUCGGUUGCCUGCAGCUCUACUUGAAUACCGUCUAACUCUCUCUUGAACCUGUCCUUUGAGCUCGCGUAAAUCAUCUUGCUUCUCACCCUUGAUGUGUCCGGAGACCUUCAAACAAGCAAACAAAAAGGCAUAUAAACAGCAAAGAUUGAAAUGUAGAAACCACUAAUUAGUUUUAAAGCAUACAAUAAUAAUACCAUGCAAUGAAGAAAAUCCUGCUUUUCUGGCAAUUCUCAGCAGUCACGAAGUCGAAAUCGUAUACAGCAUAUCGACACUCAUCGGCAGGGAGGCUAGCAGUGAAAUCGUCAUAGCUUUGACUUGGCUCACCAAGCUUUUCCACGACAACCUGCUUUUGUUUCUCCUCGAUCUUGAAUACUAUGAAGCGGUACGUCCUUUUAGCCUUUAGCUCUAGAAACUUCAGCUUGCAGUCAUCAUGCACGGCCAUUCCAGAAGCAGCAUUUGCCUAUAAUGAAAACAUUCGUAGCAUACAUAAGCUUACUUACAACAAUGACGACCCCUUCAAACUAUAUAUUACCAAUUAAUCCAUCAUCUUUUCCUUUUCUUUCACUUUGGCAAGCAUUUCCCGGGCAUGACAUCAUAGAUAUGCUUAACUAGAAAAAUCACAAGUUCAUGAGUUCUCUCCCAUAUAGAGAAAUGAGAAUGGUAGGUCAGUGACCCGAAACUUCAUAAACAUUAUCGCACUCCUGAGAACGAGAGACCAACCUCCUUAACGAACCCAGAAAUCUAAUCAUCCGGACCAUCCAAUCCCCACCGACUUUCCAAGGUUUUGAAACCAUAAACUUGAAAUCACACAAACUUCUCACAUUUAACAAGUCUAAGUGCAACAUUCCGAACUUUAUGAGAUAAAUUCAAGCAACAACAAUCAAGCUCUGAAAAUGAGACCCCAUCUUCCUCAACCAAUCCACAAAUCUAACAUUCCAGGCCAUCCAAUACCCACUUAAUUUCCAGGGCUUUGAAAAUAAACAUUAACACUGUGUUUGGAUUAAAAGUGGUAAAGCAAAAGAACGCAGAAGGAAAAUAUAUGAUGACUAAGGAAAGGAAACUAAUUUUAACAAUUCUUGUUUGGCUAAAUAGUGGAAAGGAGAAGGAUUCAUUAUAAUGAAUUUUUACAAUUAUAUCCUUUUCAUACAAUAAUUUAUAAAAGAAGAUGACAAAUAUAAUCAUUUUCUUUCUUCUUCUAUUUUUUCCUUUCCCUUGCUUGAAUACAGAAAAAGAAAAAAAAACAAUCCAAGCAAAGGAAAAGAUGAUCAUUUCCCUUACUUUCCUUUCCUUUUCCCUCCUUCACUCCAAUCCAAACCCAAGAUAAACUUGAAAUCACCCGAAAUUCUUACACAUUUAACAUGCCUAAAUGCAAUAUCCUAAGCUUAAAGAGUAUUAAAUCAAACUGACCACUAUGAGAGAUGAAUGUCAAUGACUUAUUUGAGACAAUUUCAAGCAACAACAACAAUAAUAACGGCAGUUGAGAGAAUGCAUGUCAAUAGGAUAUCAAUUCUGUGAUGAGGUGAGGAGUUAGUUAAAUAAAUGAAUCUAAACUCACAAAAACUAUGAUUUAUCCACAAUGAGAUCCCAAUUUAAAACAUAAAAAUCAUGAAUAUUUUUACUGGAUUUAAAAGCCAAACUACAUCAUUUUCAUUAAACAUUAUAAUGCUUAUUAAUAUUGUAUCCAUGGACCAUGGAGAUUAACAGAAAGAAUUUCUUUAGCUACAAAAAAGAAAAACUCACAUUUUAUACGAAAUUAACAAUCCAAAACAACAACAAAUAAACAUCAAUCGACAAGCAAUAUAUCAAACAAUGAAAACUUAUUCUACAAUCAAAUCAUCUACUCCGAGAAAAAAAAAAUCCAAAAAAUGCAUAUCCAACAAUCAAAUAUUUUAGAAAUUCAAACUAAGUUAAAGAUCUAAGUUCAACGUGAUAAUCAGAUCUACAUUUUUAAAAUUGAAAAAAAAAAUCAACAGUAAGUCAAAGAAGUACGAAUCAGGCAAAUACCAGUUGAACUGAAUUUUUAUUUUAAAAAAGCAAAAGAAAAAAAAAAAAGAAACUCACCAUGGCUUUUUAGAUUUGAACUUGCAAAGAGGAAGAAUCUGAAGGCAAAACUCGAAGAAAAUAAUAAUGAUAAUAAAUGGCUUCUAUUUUCCUUUAAAUUUUAUUAUUAUUAUUAUUAUUAUUAUUAUUAUUCUUUCCUCGCUAAGGUUUUAGUUGCUUUACUCCGAUAAGACUCGUAUGAUGAUGAGGUCGUGGGAGAGAGGGUAGGUCUGUCCAUUGAUAAUGCGACACGUGGAUGAAAGUUGAAAUAUCGGGUAUGUCCCGGGAUGUGGUUGCUUUCGCAGUCGGUUUCCAAUUCGGACUCGGAGCUUACUUCGAUUCGUGAAAUUAUCUCCCACGCACUGUAUAUCUCGUUUUCUAUUUCAGCCCAAACCAGCAGGCCGGAUUAAAGCCCGUAUAUUAAGGUCAGAAAAGUGCCGAAUUUUAAUGUGGAUCAUGGUUGGAUUUAAAAUUUAAAAUCUCAAAAAUUCAGAAUAAAUUCUUAAAAGAAUAAAAAAAUUUAACUAAAUUCAAAAUCUACGAAUAAUAUAGUAUUUGAGGUCUCUGUUUUUCCGUCCGCCAUUCACCAACCGAUUUUCUUCGUGACAGGCUCUAUUUGACAAUCAGUCGUUAGACUACGUCCUUUGCUCAAGUGCGAAGACUAAUCUAUUUGCUAUGCGAAAGACAACUUUUUCCUGGCAAGCCUAUGAUGGCUAAUGUUUUGUAUAAUCUUGUCAAGUUAAUGCAAGGCGGAACGAAAGCCUGUAAAUUAAGGCAAAAAAAAAGAGCUAUUACGGCAGGUUUUGAGCACUUUAUUGUCUAAUCGUGCUGCGUUAUCGUUUUCAUUCGGCUUACAUUUUUUUUUUUUAUCUUUGUUCCAUUUAUUAUAUAUACAUACUCCUUAUGCCAAGUUAAUUCAUUUUCCUUUUUUUUAUUUUACUCUUCUAAUAAGUUAAAUAAUUUUGUUAAUUUUUUUAAUAAAUUCACAUACUUUUAAUAAAUUCAAAAAAGUAAAAUAAUUUUAAAAUUUUUUAUUAUAUAUUAUUUCUAAUCUAAUUUUCUUAGUAUUCAUUUUCUAUUAUCACCUGACCGUUAUUAUUGUGUUUGAGUCCAAACACACAUCCUACCGUUGUUUCUAAUCUCUCUCCAACAAUAUUCAAUCUCGUCGCUAGAAUAAUUAAUCUCAUCGGCACAGUUAUUUUUAACUUCACUGGAUAUUAACGCACUGUCCAUCCUUUAAUAUCCACAAUUGGCUCUCAAAUUUAAAAUAUAAAAAGUCAAUGAGAAAUUAUUAUAAAUGAAAAAAAAAAGGGUCAAAUUCAAAAUGUAGAAAGGAUAUAAAGAUUUGAUGUGCCUAUGUUUUUUCAUCUUUUUUGUAACAAGCUCUAUUUGGCAGUCACUAAACUAUGUCCUUUGCACAAGUAUGAAGCUUAAUCCACUAAAUAUAGGUUUAGAUGGAGGUUUUCUUUGUCAGGUAAAUCUAUUCUAAUGUUGAGUUUGGAUGGGCGAUUGGUGCGGUGCAAUACGUUUAACUUACUUUUUGUCUCACGUUACAGUAUCACUAAAGUAUCUAAUCUCACCGUCACUGUUAUUUUUACACUAACCGUAAAUAAACAUACCACCCAUUCAAACUCACCAUAAGUCUAUGAUGGCUAAUAUUUUGUAUAAGCCUUUCAAAUUAAAGAUAGUCUGAUUCCAAAAAUAUGUAAACAUUAAUUUGGUUAAUUAUUUAUUUUAUUGAAUAAUUCUUUAAUCCUCCUUUGGUUUGUAUCGGCCAACUCUCUUUGAAUUAGAGCUUUUCCUUGAAAAAAAGGUUACUGCCUCCAUCAACAAAAGCAGAGGAAAAAAGUAAAAUAGUACUAAAGCUGCAGGGGCAUCAUUGCAAUUUUGACAAACAUUUCCAAACUUCAAGGCUUUUUGAUUCAGAGUCUCAACUUACCUUAGAUGAUUCACCCGCAAUUAUAAAAUCAUUUUAAAAACAUCCUCGACAAAUUUCACCAAAUAAAUAAUAAAAUUCUACUUAAAUUGUAUUCAAAUCUCCCAUUAGUUGAAUUAGAAAAACGAACAAAUGCCUAGAAAUAAUGCGAAAUUGUGAAAUAAAUCCAUUUAAAUCUACUAUAUAAUCACAUCAGGAUCGAGCAAAUCCAUCUUCCAAUACACAAUCUCCAAACAUCAACUUAAAGCAAACCCUAACUAAAAAGACAAACGUACAAAUCCCCUUCUUCAAGACGAAGUAAACUUAGUCACAGCUUUAGUCCCUUCAGAAACGGCAUGCUUCGCUAGCUCACCGGGAAGUACAAGCCUAACAGCAGUCUGGAUUUCCCUAGAAGUAAUGGUAGGUUUCUUGUUGUACCUCGCGAGUCUCGAAGCUUCUUGAGCAAGUUUCUCAAAGAUGUCAUUGAUGAAACUGUUCAUAAUGCCCAUAGCUUUGCUUGAGAUACCGAUAUCUGGAUGAACUUGUUUAAGGACCUUGAAGAUGUAGAUCUUG